AAGGGAGACCUAAUUCCGGUAGGAGACGAAAAAAAAGUAGUCCAAACCAAGAAUCAAUCCCAAAAGGUCGGAACGAGGUAUGAGGCUUUCAAACUAGGUUCUGGGUUCAUAAAAGACCUGAAUCAGGAACAAGGGCUAUUAGCUCAGGUGGUUAGAGCGCACCCCUGAUAAGGGUGAGGUCCCUGGUUCGAGUCCAGGAUGGCCCACCUGCACAGGUGGCAAAAACAAGAGAAGCUCCGAAUCAGCACCUUAUCUUAUAUACAUAUAUAAGAGAGAAUGCUGGCUCUGAGUACAGAGUCCAGAGGAACCUUGAAAACUGCAUAGAGCUAGGUGAAAAGGCCAAAAAAGAAGACCGCAA
rnacentral:tRNA from 1 species